UUGGCCCUGAAUCAAGGCCAGCAGCUUGCUGAAGCUGUUCGUUUCAAGCAGGAGCCAAAAGAGUCUUUAUGGUCUGUUGGCCAUUUCAGAACUUUGGAAAUGUAAUGGGCAAUUCAUUAGAAAGAAAGAUCU
ensembl:snoRNA